GGGGGAUAACCCGGCGAAAGUCGGACUAAUACCGCAUGAAGCAGGGGCCCCGCAUGGGGAUAUUUGCUAAAGAUUCAUCGCUGAUAGAUAGGCGUGCGUUCCAUUAGGCAGUUGGCGGGGUAACGGCCCACCAAACCGACGAUGGAUAGGGGUUCUGAGAGGAAGGUCCCCCACAUUGGUACUGAGACACGGACCAAACUCCUACG
rnacentral:rRNA from 1 species